rnacentral:rRNA from 1 species
AUUGAACGCUGGCGGAAUGCUUUACACAUGCAAGUCGAACGGUAGAGGGGGCAACCCCUCGAGAGUGGCGAACGGGUGAGUAAUAUAUCGGAACGUGCCCAGUCGUGGGGGAUAACGUAGCGAAAGUUACGCUAAUACCGCAUACGAUCUAAGGAUGAAAGCGGGGGAUCGCAAGGCCUCGCGCGAUUGGAGCGGCCGAUAUCAGAUUAGGUAGUUGGUGGGGUAAAGGCUCACCAAGCCAACGAUCUGUAGCUGGUCUGAGAGGACGACCAGCCACACUGGAACUGGGACACGGUCCAGACUCCUACGGGAGGCAGCAGUGGGGAAUUUUGGACAAUGGACGCAAGUCUGAUCCAGCCAUUCCGCGUGCAGGAUGUAGGCCCUCGGGUUGUAAACUGCUUUUGUACAGAACGAAAAGGUUUCUACUAAUACUAGGAGCUCAUGACGGUACUGUAAGAAUAAGCACCGGCUAACUACGUGCCAGCCGCCGCAGUAA